rnacentral:sRNA from 1 species
UGGUUUUUCUCUCUCUUCUCUCUCUCGC